rnacentral:rRNA from 1 species
AGGGCACCACCAGGAGUGGAGCCUGCGGCUUAAUUUGACUCAACACGGGAAAACUCACCCGGCCCGGACACCGGAAGGAUUGACAGAUUGAGAGCUCUUUCUUGAUUCAGUGGGUGGUGGUGCAUGGCCGUUCUUAGUUGGUGGAGUGAUUUGUCUGGUUAAUUCCGAUAACGAACGAGACUCUAGCCUACUAAAUAGAUCGUCGGCUUACAAACGCCGGCGAGACUUCUUAGAGGGACAGGCGGUGAUUCAACCGCACGAAACAGAGCAAUAACAGGUCUGUGAUGCCCUUAGAUGCCCGGGGCCGCACGCGCGCUACACUGAAGUGAUCAGCGUGCUUUUUCAACCUACUCUGUCAAGAGUGGGGAACCCAAUGAACCUUCUUCGUGAUUGGGAUAGGGGAUUGUAAUUAUUCCCCUUGAACGAGGAAUUCCCAGUAAGCGCGAGUCAUAAGCUCGCGUUGAUUACGUCCCUGCCCUUUGUACACACCGCCCGUCGCUACUACCGAUUGAAUGUUUU